CCUACGGGAGGCUGCAGUGGGGAAUAUUGGACAAUGGGGGGAACCCUGAUCCGGCGACGCCGCGUGAGUGAAGAAGUAUUUCGGUAUGUAAAGCUCUAUCAGCAGGGAAGAAAGAAAUGACGGUACCUGACUAAGAAGCCCCGGCUAACUACGUGCCAGCAGCCGCGGGAAUACGUAGGGGGCAAGCGUUAUCCGGAUUUACUGGGUGUAAAGGGAGCGUAGACGGCGAUGCAAGUCUGAAGUGAAAGGCGGGGGCCCAACCCUCGGACUGCUUUGGAAACUGUAUGGCUGGAGUGCAGGAGAGGUAAGUGGAAUUCCUAGUGUAGCGGUGAAAUGCGUAGAUAUUAGGAGGAACACCAGUGGCGAAGGCGGCUUACUGGACUGUAACUGACGUUGAGGCUCGAAAGCGUGGGGAGCAAACAGGAUUAGAUACCCUGGUAGUC
rnacentral:rRNA from 1 species